rnacentral:rRNA from 1 species
GACGAACGCUGGCGGCGUGCUUGACACAUGCAAGUCGAACGGAAAGGCCCUGCUUUUGUGGGGUGCUCGAGUGGCGAACGGGUGAGUAACACGUGAGUAACCUGCCCUUGACUUUGGGAUAACUUCAGGAAACUGGGGCUAAUACCGGAUAGGAGCUCCUGCUGCAUGGUGGGGGUUGGAAAGUUUCGGCGGUUGGGGAUGGACUCGCGGCUUAUCAGCUUGUUGGUGGGGUAGUGGCUUACCAAGGCUUUGACGGGUAGCCGGCCUGAGAGGGUGACCGGCCACAUUGGGACUGAGAGACGGCCCAGACUCCUACGGGAGGCAGCAGUGGGGAAUAUUGCACAAUGGGCGGAAGCCUGAUGCAGCAACGCCGCGUGCGGGAUGACGGCCUUCGGGUUGUAAACCGCUUUCGCCUGUGACGAAGCGUGAGUGACGGUAAUGGGCAAAGAAGCACCGGCUAACUACGUG